rnacentral:lncRNA from 1 species
AACGUGCUAGGGUCUUCUUCCACGCUGUGGAAGCUUUGUUCUUUCACUCUUUGCAAUAAAUCUUGCUACUGCUCACUCUUUGGGUCCACACUGUUUUUAUGAGCUGUAACACUCACCACGAAGAUCUGCAGCUUCACUCCUGAGCCCAGCGAGACCAUGAGCCCACCGGGAGGAACGAACAACUCCAGACGCUCUGCCUUAAGAGCUGUAACACUCACUGCGAAGGUCUGCAGCUUCACUCCUGAGCCAGUGAGACCAUGGACCCACCAGAAAGAAGAAACUCCGAACACAUCUGAACAUCAGAAGGAACAAACUCCAGAUGUGCCACCUUAAGAGCUGUAACACUCACCGUGAGGGUCCGCAGCUUCAUUCUUGAAGUCAGUGAGACCAAGAACCCACCAAUUCCGGACACAGUUACGACUAAAAUCAGACUUUGGGAUCCUGAUCCAGCAUAGACAGCCCUUCAGCCUGCAGUGCUUUCCACUGCAUUUAUUAAUUCAUUAAUCCAUCCAUCAAAUAUUACUACAGUGCAGUGGUUGAGAUCACAGACCCUAGAGUUAGACUGUUUACCUUAGAAUCUUGCCCCCACCACUUACUAUCUAUGUGAUAAAGAAACUGUUCCUGUUUCCACAUCUGCAAAACAAUUGUGUCUACUUCAUAGUUCAGGUCAUCAAAAUAUUUCCUGUAAUUUUCCCACCCAAAAUAGACAUACAUUAUCUUUUUAAACAGGAAGACAAGAAGCAAGAGAUUUCAGGACUGGGGUCACAGGUUCAACAAUCCCAUCCAAGUGCCUGGUCUAUCUUUCCUGAAUGUUUUUAAAGCCCCAUGGUGAAGUAGAUUCACAAAAGCAGCAAGUCAAUCCAGUCCUUUCUGCUGGGGACCAGAUGCCUUAAAGGGAGGGUU